CAGUUACUCCCUCCGUCCGAAAAUACUUGUCACAAAAAUGUAUAAAAAUAAAUGUAUCUAUAACUAAAAUGUGUCUAGAUGCAUCCAUUCCUCCGACAAGUAUUUCCGGACGGAGGGAGUACGAG
rfam:Triticum aestivum genome assembly, contig: Triticum_aestivum_CS42_TGACv1_scaffold_569640_7AS